rnacentral:rRNA from 1 species
AGCGAACGCUGGCGGCAGGCCUAACACAUGCAAGUCGAACGAACUCUUCGGAGUUAGUGGCGGACGGGUGAGUAACACGUGGGAACGUGCCUUUAGGUUCGGAAUAACUCAGGGAAACUUGUGCUAAUACCGAAUGUGCCCUUCGGGGGAAAGAUUUAUCGCCUUUAGAGCGGCCCGCGUCUGAUUAGCUAGUUGGUGAGGUAAAGGCUCACCAAGGCGACGAUCAGUAGCUGGUCUGAGAGGAGGAUCAGCCACAUUGGGACUGAGACACGGCCCAAACUCCUACGGGAGGCAGCAGUGGGGAAUCUUGCGCAUGGGCGAAAGCCUGACGCAGCCAUGCCGCGUGAAUGAUGAAGGUCUUAGGAUUGUAAAAUUCUUUCACCGGGGACGAUAAUGACGGUACCCGGAGAAGAAGCCCCGGCUAACUUCGUG